GUGGGGAAUUUUGGGCAAUGGGCGAAAGCCUGACCCAGCAACGCCGUGUGUGGGAUGAAGGCCCUCGGGUCGUAAACCACUGUCAGAAGGGAAGAAUGGCACUACGGCCAAUACCCGUAGUGCGUGACGGUACCUUCAAAGGAAGCGCCGGCUAACUCCGUGCCAGCAGCCGCGGUAAUACGGAGGGCGCAAGCGUUGUUCGGAAUUACUGGGCGUAAAGCGCGUGUAGGCGGUUCGGUAAGUUGGGUGUGAAAUCCCGGGGCUCAACCCCGGAACUGCACUCAAAACUGCCGGGCUAGAGUCCCGGAGAGGAAGGCAGAAUUCCCAGUGUAGGGGUGAAAUCCGUAGAUAUUGGGAGGAAUACCAGUAGCGAAGGCGGCCUUCUGGACGGUGACUGACGCUGAGACGCGAAAGCGUGGGGAGCAAACAGG
rnacentral:rRNA from 1 species